UGAGGAAUAUUGGUCAAUGGGCGGAAGCCUGAACCAGCCAUCCCGCGUGCAGGAAGACGGCCCUAUGGGUUGUAAACUGCUUUUCCAGGGGGAGAAACUUUCCGAUGAAUCGGGAUUUGACGGUACCCUGGGAAUAAGCAUCGGCUAACUCCGUGCCAGCAGCCGCGGUAAUACGGAGGAUGCGAGCGUUAUCCGGAUUUAUUGGGUUUAAAGGGUGCGUAGGCGGAUCGAUAAGUCAGUGGUGGAAACCUGCAGCUUAACUGUAGACUUGCCGUUGAUACUGUUGGACUUGAGUAUGGUCAAGGUAGGCGGAAUGUGUAAUGUAGCGGUGAAAUGCUUAGAUAUUACACAGAACACCGAUUGCGAAGGCAGCCUACUGGACCAUCACUGACGCUGAUGCACGAAAGCGUGGGGAUCGAACAG
rnacentral:rRNA from 1 species